GAACGAACGCUGGUCUCUAUGCCUAACAAAACAAGUCGAACGCGGGGCUUCGGCCCCGAGUGGCGCACGGGUCCGUAACGCGUGGGAACCUGCCCUGGAGUGGGGGAUAACCCGGCGAAAGCCGGGCUAAUACCGCAUACGUCUUGGAGCGAUCCGAGGGAAAGAUUCAUCGCUCUGGGAGGGGCCCGCGUCGGAUUAGCUAGUUGGUGGGGUAACGGCCCACCAAGGCGAUGAUCCGUAGCUGGUCUGAGAGGAUGAUCAGCCACACUGGGACUGAGACACGGCCCAGACUCCUACGGGAGGCAGCAGUGGG
rnacentral:rRNA from 1 species